rnacentral:rRNA from 1 species
UGAGGAACAUGACCUUCGGCGGGGGAUAGCCGGCCCAACGGCCGGGUAAUACCGCGUACGACCAUAUGGGGACAUCCCUGAGUGGUGAAAGCAGCAAUGCGCCGAUGGAGUGCCUCGCGGCCUAUCAGCUAGUUGGUGAGGUAACGGCUCACCAAGGCGACGACGGGUAGCUGGUCUGAGAGGAUGGCCAGCCACAUUGGGACUGAGACACGGCCCAGACCUCUACGGGGAGG